rnacentral:rRNA from 1 species
AGAGUUUGAUCCUGGCUCAGGACGAACGCUGGCGGCGUGCCUAAUACAUGCAAGUAGAACGCUGAAGAGAGGAGCUUGCUCUUCUUGGAUGAGUUGCGAACGGGUGAGUAACGCGUAGGUAACCUGCCUUGUAGCGGGGGAUAACUAUUGGAAACGAUAGCUAAUACCGCAUAACAAUGGAUGACACAUGUCAUUUAUUUGAAAGGGGCAAUUGCUCCACUACAAGAUGGACCUGCGUUGUAUUAGCUAGUAGGUGAGGUAACGGCUCACCUAGGCGACGAUACAUAGCCGACCUGAGAGGGUGAUCGGCCACACUGGGACUGAGACACGGCCCAGACUCCUACGGGAGGCAGCAGUAGGGAAUCUUCGGCAAUGGGGGCAACCCUGACCGAGCAACGCCGCGUGAGUGAAGAAGGUUUUCGGAUCGUAAAGCUCUGUUGUAAGUCAAGAACGAGUGUGAGAGUGGAAAGUUCACACUGUGACGGUAGCUUACCAGAAAGGGACGGCUAACUACGUGCCAGCAGCCGCGGUAAUACGUAGGUCCCGAGCGUUGUCCGGAUUUAUUGGGCGUAAAGCGAGCGCAGGCGGUUUGAUAAGUCUGAAGUUAAAGGCUGUGGCUCAACCAUAGUUCGCUUUGGAAACUGUCAAACUUGAGUGCAGAAGGGGAGAGUGGAAUUCCAUGUGUAGCGGUGAAAUGCGUAGAUAUAUGGAGGAACACCGGUGGCGAAAGCGGCUCUCUGGUCUGUAACUGACGCUGAGGCUCGAAAGCGUGGGGAGCGAACAGGAUUAGAUACCCUGGUAGUCCACGCCGUAAACGAUGAGUGCUAGGUGUUGGAUCCUUUCCGGGAUUCAGUGCCGCAGCUAACGCAUUAAGCACUCCGCCUGGGGAGUACGACCGCAAGGUUGAAACUCAAAGGAAUUGACGGGGGCCCGCACAAGCGGUGGAGCAUGUGGUUUAAUUCGAAGCAACGCGAAGAACCUUACCAGGUCUUGACAUCCCGAUGCUAUUUCUAGAGAUAGAAAGUUACUUCGGUACAUCGGUGACAGGUGGUGCAUGGUAGUCGUCAGCUCGUGUCGUGAGAUGUUGGGUUAAGUCUCGCAACGAGCGCAACCCCUAUUGUUAGUUGCCAUCAUUCAGUUGGGCACUCUAGCGAGACUGCCGGUAAUAAACCGGAGGAAGGUGGGGAUGACGUCAAAUCAUCAUGCCCCUUAUGACCUGGGCUACACACGUGCUACAAUGGUUGGUACAACGAGUUGCGAGUCGGUGACGGCAAGCUAAUCUCUUAAAGCCAAUCUCAGUUCGGAUUGUAGGCUGCAACUCGCCUACAUGAAGUCGGAAUCGCUAGUAAUCGCGGAUCAGCACGCCGCGGUGAAUACGUUCCCGGGCCUUGUACACACCGCCCGUCACACCACGAGAGUUUGUAACACCCGAAGUCGGUGAGGUAACCUUUUGGAGCCAGCCGCCUAAGGUGGGAUAGAUGAUUGGGGUGAAGUCGUAACAAGGUA